GACGAACGCUGGCGGCGUGCUUAACACAUGCAAGUCGAACGGAAAGGCCCUGCUUUUGUGGGGUGCUCGAGUGGCGAACGGAUGAGUAACACGUGAGUAACCUGCCCUUGACUUUGGGAUAACUUCAGGAAACUGGGGCUAAUACCGGAUAGGAGCUCCUGCUGAAUGGUGGGGGUUGGAAAGUUUCGGCGGUUGGGGAUGGACUCGCGGCUUAUCAGCUUGUUGGUGGGGUAGUGGCUUACCAAGGCUUUGACGGGUAGCCGGCCUGAGAGGGUGACCGGCCACAUUGGGACUGAGAUACGGCCCAGACUCCUACGGGAGGCAGCAGUGGGGAAUAUUGCACAAUGGGCGGAAGCCUGAUGCAGCAACGCCGCGUGCGGGAUGACGGCCUUCGGGUUGUAAACCGCUUUCGCCUGUGACGAAGCGUGAGUGACGGUAAUGGGUAAAGAAGCACCGGCUAACUACGUG
rnacentral:rRNA from 1 species